rnacentral:rRNA from 1 species
AGAACGAACGCUGGCGGCAUGCCUAACACAUGCAAGUCGAACGAGACCUUCGGGUCUAGUGGCGCACGGGUGCGUAACGCGUGGGAACCUGCCUUUAGGUUCGGAAUAACUUCCCGAAAGGGAUGCUAAUACCGGAUAAUGUCUUCGGACCAAAGAUUUAUCGCCUUUAGAUGGGCCCGCGUAGGAUUAGCUAGUUGGUGGGGUAAAGGCCUACCAAGGCGACGAUCCUUAGCUGGUCUGAGAGGAUGAUCAGCCACACUGGGACUGAGACACGGCCCAGACUCCUACGGGAGGCAGCAGUGGGGAAUAUUGGACAAUGGGCGAAAGCCUGAUCCAGCAAUGCCGCGUGAGUGAUGAAGGCCUUAGGGUUGUAAAGCUCUUUACCAGGAUGAUAAUGACAGUACCUGGAGAAUAAGCUCCGGCUAACUCCGUGCCAGCAGCCGC